rnacentral:rRNA from 1 species
UACGUAGGGUGCGAGCGUUGCCCGGAUUUAUUGGGCGUAAAGCGCACGUAGGCGGCUUAGCAAGUUGGAUGUGAAAUCCCUCGGCUCAACCAAGGAAGUGCAUCCAAAACUGCUGAGCUUGAGUACUUAAGAGGAUCGCGGAAUUCCCGGUGUAGAGGUGAAAUUCGUAGAUAUCGGGAGGAACACCAGUGGCGAAGGCGGCGAUCUGGGAAGAUACUGACGCUGAGGUGCGAAAGCGUGGGGAGCAAACAGG